rnacentral:rRNA from 1 species
AACGAACGCUGGCGGCGUGGCUAAGGCAUGCAAGUCGUACGGAACCACCUAAGUAGCAAUACGAGGGUGGUUCAGUGGCGGACGGGUGAGUAAUGCAUGGGUAACGUACCUUGAGCACAGGGAUAGCGUCGGGCCCGCAAGGGUCCUUUGCGAAAGUAGACGGUAAUACCUGAUGACAUCUCGAGAUCACAUGUUCUUGAGAUCAAAGGGUGGGAUCG